UUAAUCACCCGAUGGAAUCCGACCGGUCCGAACCCGGUUUUACAUUUCGGUUCGGUUCACGUCGGGUUAACAAUUAAAGCGGGUGACUGUUUCGGUCUAUUCUGGUUUCCUUCGGUUCGGAUCGGAUCAAAAUGUUGGGCCCAUCGGUGGCCGAACCCGACCGAGCCCAGUAAAUACUUUACUAUUAUUUACUCAGUAUAAGGGUCUGUGGAGGCAACCCUAAUUUCUUAGUAUCAUUUUUCUUUCUUUCUGAAUAGCGCCGCCCCCUUAUGCUCUCAUCUCUUCAACUACCACCACAAUAUUCACCUUUUCUCUCACCUUUUCUCUGCUUCCAUCACCACCAACUUUGUCCCUUCCUCUCAACAUCUCUCUCCCACCUUACUAAAAAAUCGAAUUUGAAACCAAAACCUAAUCCAUAAAUUUCAGAAAAUAGAUCUAAACUUGUUGUUAGAUUUCGUUGGAAAAACACCACUUGCAUGUCUUCGUUUUUGUUUGUGGUCCUCGAUCUGGUUUGAAACCUACCUUCGCUGCCAUAUAAGUCUUUGUUUUGAGUUACAGAUUGAUACUUGUUAUUUAUAUUGGUGUUCUUGCCUUCCUUCUGGGUGUUGCGGUAAAUAUCACUUUUCUGGUUUAUAUUUGAGUUAUCACUUGUGUUGACUAGUUAUUAUUCUUGAAGUUGGCUUUCAUAUUUCCAGGUUUAGGUCUAUUUAUUUUAACCUUGUAUUUUUUUGAAGCUGGUCAUGUCCAGGUUUAGAUCUAUUUAUUUUCAGGUUUAGAUCUAUUUUGCAUUUGUAUUUCCAAUCUAUUUAUAUUAACCUUGUAUUGUUUGAAGCUGGUUAUUUUACAAGUUUUGAUCUAUUUAUUUCCAGGUUUAGAUCUAUUUAUGCAAAACUGUAAGUCCCGAUAAAUCUUACUUCUAUAUUAACUUUUCCAGAAAUUGAUUGAUACGAUAUGUAUUUAGAAGUAAAAUUUCUUUACUUGAUAUGAAGUUAUGUUUUCUUGUAAAAAAAUUUAUAUUUCAAAAUCAAUAUGUUUUGUUUUGUUGGUGUUCUGGUUUUAAAUAUGUUCUUCAAGCUAAAACCAAUUUGCACUAUGUCUGCUCUAAACUAUGCUUAUUAAUUUAACUCUUUUACCUCUCUAAUUUCAUCUGCAGGUUAUACAACUAUUUUAUUAGCUGCUGAAUGUGCAGUUUACAGAUAUGAUAUUGUGCAGGAAAUGUAAAUAUAUGAAGUGUAGACAUAUUUCAUUUGUUUUGAUGUAGGUUUUAUUAUACAAUAUCAAUGGAGAUAAAUGAUAUUAUUACCUCAGGUCUGAAAGUGAAAAUAAUGGGAUGCAUAUCAAAAUAUUCCCAGAGAUAUGAAGAAGAUGAAUUGCCACAAGAAAUUAUGGACAAAACAAAUGUUGAGAUGUUUACUAUGUUUUUUAAUUUAUAAUUUUAAUAAUUGUAUGGUUUAUAUUUAAUUACGUUUUUUAACUAUCUAAGUAUAUAUAACAAAAAGGUUAAAAUAA